ensembl:lncRNA
GUAAUUCCCUGAGCUUCCCUUGUAUUCCCUUCUUGCUAGACAAUGAGGUCCUGAAGGGCAGGGACAGUGUUUGGUCACCAUUGUUUUCCUGUGCCCAGAGUCUCCCUGGCAAUAGGCAGGCCUUCAGUAAAUACAUAUAUCAUGAGUGAAUUUGGCAGACAAGCUUGCAACUACCCGGAAGCUGGAGGGAGGUAAAUACAAAAGAGGAGGCGAGGCCUUGGAGCUCCCAGACACCCACCCUAAAACAAGGAAGUAAUGCUAGAAACAGAUGGACAGAAGAAGCACCAUUUGAAGAAAGCUGUGGACCUCCUAUAGGAGAAAAGCCCCAAACAAACUUGACACUCUUUCAAGCGCAUGGUCUGACUCCUCCAGAACAAGGAAAACAAAACAAAACAGCCUUAAGUAAUCCACUCCCCCCAAUAAAAACGCCUACCCCAAACAGCAAUUGCUCCAGACUCAUAGAGCGUCCUAGUUACACAGUGGAAAGAACAAAGAUGUGAUUUAAGCAUCUUGAAAUUGAAAUAGCAAUUGCCAAACACCAGAGGAUCAGCAGAAUCAUUAGAUUCCAGAAAAUGCAGAACCUCUGAGGCCUCUGUAUUCUUCCAUUCUGAUGUCAGACUACUGGCAGCCCACGCUGAGCUGCCUUAUAAGAAAGUGCAGCUAGGCCACUAGAAAGAAGCAGAGGAAGGAGGGGCCAGCUGGCAUUGCUGGGGUUUGGAAGCUCUGCACUGCAGAUUCUGUUAACCAACACUGGACACUGUCUUCCUCUGCUCUCAGUGACCAGUGAGGCCAAGGCGGGCCACUUCAGCUGACUAGACACAGAUGUAGAUGUCUAUAAGUUUAUCAGUCAGGGGCCUGCCAGGAAAAUAGAAUUUAUCCCAGGUGGUUCAAAUAGAAAGACUAAUAAAAAGGAUCGACAGCAGUGAGCAUGAGGGAAACAGAUAAGGAGCAUUGUGGUACCUGAAGACUUGUGUCAGGGGUCGCCAUUACUUCUGUAAGGGCAAAGAGCAGCAGGAAGUCUCAGUGCCUGACCUGGCAGGACUGCAGCUAUGAGGAAGGGCUUCCAGAGAUGGGGCUCCAGAACAGGGAGGGAGUGGAGAAGAAAUCCUUGCCCAUUUCUCCCGAUUCCUGCUGACAAAAGCAGAAGCCAGCCAGCGAGGGUGCUCACAAUGGCACUUUCCUCAAGGGUCAGCUCCUGGAGCUGAGAAUACAUGGAGUUGCUCAUUCCGACUCUUUGAGACUCCAUGGACUGCAGCUCACCAAGCUACCCUGUCCUUCACUAUCUCUCAGAGUUUGUGCAAACUCAUGUUCAUUGAGUUGAUGAUGCCACCCAACCAUCUCAUCCUCUGUCGUCCCCUUCUUCUCCUGCCUUCAAUCUUUGCCAGCAUCAGAGUCUUUUCCAGUGAGUCAGCUCUUCGAAUCACACAGCCAAAGUAUUGGAGCUUCGUCACCAGUC